rnacentral:rRNA from 1 species
CCUACGGGUGGCUGCAGUCGAGAAUCUUCGGCAAUGGGCGCAAGCCUGACCGAGCGACGCCGCGUGUGGGAUGAAGGCCUUCGGGUUGUAAACCACUGUUAGAGGGGAUGAAAUGCAGGUGGGUUCUCCCAUCUGUUUGACAUAGCCUCAGAGGAAGGACGGGCUAAGUUCGUGCCAGCAGCCGCGGUAAGACGAACCGUCCAAACGUUAUUCGGAAAAGGGGGGCUAGAAGGCGGCGCAGGCGGCGCGGGAAAUACCUCGGCUCAACCGAGGAACUGCGCCCAAAACUGCCGUGAUCGAGGAAGAUAGAGGUGAGCGGAACUUAGGGUGGAGCGGUGAAAUGCGUUGAUAUCCUAAGGAACACCGGUGGCGAAAGCGGCUCACUGGAUCUUUUCUGACGCUGAGGCACGAAAGCUAGGGUAGCGAACGGGAUUAGAUACCCUGGUAGUC